UACGUAGGGGGCGAGCGUUACCCGGAUUUACUGGGCGUAAAGCGCGUGUAGGCGGCUGGCCAAGCGUGGUGUGAAAUCUUCGGGCUUAACCCGAAAACUGCAUUGCGAACUGGUCUGGCUAGAGUGUGUGAGAGGGUAGUGGAAUUCCCGGUGUAGCGGUGAAAUGCGCAGAUAUCAGGAGGAACACCGGUGGCGAAGGCGGGUCUCUGGGCCGAUACUGACGCUGAGGAGCGAAAGCGUGGGGAGCGAACAGG
rnacentral:rRNA from 1 species